rnacentral:rRNA from 1 species
CAGUCGCCGCGGUAAUACGUAGGGUGCGAGCGUUAAUCGGAAUUAUUGGGCGUAAAGGGCUCGCAGGCGGUUUCUUAAGUCUGAUGUGAAAGCCCCCGGCUCAACCGGGGAGGGUCAUUGGAAACUGGGAAACUUGAGUGCAGAAGAGGAGAGUGGAAUUCCACGUGUAGCGGUGAAAUUCGUAGAGAUGUGGAGGAACACCAGUGGCGAAGGCGACUCUCUGGUCUGUAACUGACGCUGAGGAGCGAAAGCGUGGGGAGCGAACAGGAUUAGAUACCCCUGUAGUCCCUGUCUCUUAUAC